rnacentral:lncRNA from 1 species
AUGAAUCUGAUUAUGUUAGCAAUAUUUUGCCCGAGGCCGCAUAAUCUUCUCCUUUCUCUCUUGCCACUACUCGAACUCCACCUUGAUUUGAUCAAUAUCGGUCUUAGCGUGUCAUUGCUCCUCUCUUGAUUUCUCAUUUUGCCUCCAAGUUUGAUAAAGCAAAUUAACACUAGAAAACAAAAAUAACUGAUCAUAUAUAAACUCAUUAAUAGGUCCAGAAUGGUCAAAUAUUUUCUAGAGAAGUAUCAUAGAUUACCUUCUCACAAAAAAAUAAAUAAAAUCAAAUGUCUUUAUGAUGACUUAAUUAUUACAAACCUCACUAGUAUCUCCUUAACAUGCUUAUAUGGCCAAUUUAUAAGAUCAUGAAACUCUCAGUAAUUACAUUAUCCUUUCAUGGAAAAAUUAUAGGAAAGAAACCUAUAUAUAUAUAUAUAUAUAUAUAUAAAACUAACAUUGACAACAACAUACCUAGGAAAUAGCAAGAGAGUUCAUUCGCACCAAUAAAAUUGGAAUAUUGUAAAACAAUCCAUAAUUGCCUGUAACUACACAAGAAAAGGAUCAAAAUUUAUUUCAUCAAAAAAUAUUAAAAGCAUCCCUUUAAUCAUAUUUCAGAAGCUUCAACCGUAAACCAAUGAAUUAUUACUGAUAUACCAAUCUAAUAAUGAACAUAAAGAUUAAAACUUUUCUCGUCCCAAUUAACUAAGAAGAAGAAUAAAUAUACUUUUAUCAAAUCCAGCAUAAGUUAUACAUGAAGUCUGAUGUGCACAUUGAAAAUUGAAAAUAAUAAAGAGAAACAAAUAAAGUAACCUAAGAAAUAUUGUUAUAUAUGUUGAUAUACAUUAGUGAAAGUUGAGAUUCAAAGAAGAUAGAAGCAUACAUGUACUAGUGGUUGAAGAAGGUGUUGAGAUGAAUACUAAUCGCCCAAAAGACUUGAAAUGCUCUCUCCUCUCCACUAUUUAAACUUUUCUAUACCAUCACCAUAGCUAUGGAUCCACCAAUUCCAAACCAUAUGCAAAUUAACUCGGCAAAUAAUCAUCCACAACCCAAAUCGUUUUUACAAACAUUCACAUCCAACUCAAACCUACCAACUUACAUUUUAAACAGACAAGCUGUCAACACUACUGUUGAUUUAACUGAUGAAACUAACAAUGAAUAUGAGUCCGAUGAUUUUAUAACCCUAACAAUGGAAGAAAAAGCUCGACUAUACACUCAUUGGCAAAAUUCUAUUAUAGUUAAGGUUUUUGGUUGAAUAGUGGGACACCAACUGCUCAAGGCAAAUCUAAUGACUACUGGGCAACCCACAGAGGAAAUACAUCUCAUCGAUUUGGGAUGUAAUUUCUUCCUUAUCAAAUUUUGCUAUGAGGAAAAUACGUAUAAGGCUCUUCACGAAUGGUCUUAAUUCAUUUUAAAUCACUUCCUAUCGGUUCGCUGCUGGGAACCCAAAUUUAUUGCCUCAAAUUCCCAACUAACAUAUUCUGCUCUUUGGGCAAGUUUACCAGAACUACCUAACGAGUUUUAUGACUUCUAAAUACUACAAAAAAUAGGGAACAAAAUCGAAAAGAUAUUAAAAGUUGAUACUGGUACCACUUCUACUACACGAGGCAGGUAUGCAAGAAUAUGCAUCGAAGUGCCAUUGAAAAAACCUUUUAAAACACAUGUAUCUAGGCACCCACAAACAAGUACUUCUCUACGAAUGACUCAACCUCCUCUGUACUAGGUGUGGAAGGUUUGCCCAUACAAGUUGGAGUUCUCAAUAUUCCCAAACACCACCCCUAAACUCGAUAACACCACUCCCACCACUACUUCCCAUAUAGACCCUCCAUUACCUAUUCCACAAUCAAAGGACUUUGAGUGGAAAAUGGCUUUCCAAAACGAACAUAUACCAAACACAACAAAACACACAUACAUAGCCCAAUAGAAGGAUGCUGAAAUCCAGCAUAGCCGGCGCAUACGAGCACAUGUAAGGAAGUGGCCACGCAAAUCGCUAAGGUAAGAACAGGUAUGCCUAUAAACCCUAAUCCAAUAUUCAU